CUAUGCGCCUUGCCAGCCCGCUCAGUCAGAGUUUGAUCCUGGCUCAGGAUGAACGCUGGCGGCGCGCCUAAUACAUGCAAGUCGAGCGACGAAACCGAAGUGGGUAACCACUUCGGCUGAAAGCGGCGAACGGGUGAGUAACACGUGGGUAACGUGCCCCGAACUCUGGAAUAACAACGGGAAACCGUUGCUAAUGCCGGAUGACCCCUGUAGAUCGCAUGUUCAGCAGGGCAAAGUUUUCGGUUCGGGAUCGGCCCGCGACCUAUCAGCUUGUUGGUGGGGUAACGGCCUACCAAGGCAGUGACGGGUAGCUGGCGUGAGAGCGUGGCCAGCCACACUGGGACUGAGACACGGCCCAG
rnacentral:rRNA from 1 species